rnacentral:rRNA from 1 species
AUGUCUACAUCAGAGGGUUCGGAGAGUGCUGAUUCCAUGGAUGAGGAUACAAGUCAAGUACCACAUGCUAGAAGGUCCAAGGUAUGGGAGCAUUAUGAAGUAGAUUUGGUUCACGUAGAUGGUGAUCUCAAGGCUGUGUGCAAAUACUAUGGAGUGCAACUUCACACCAAGUUUGGGACAAGCAGUUUGAGGACCCAUAUUGCAGAGGCAUACCGAUCAAUUCAGGAUGCUUGCAGGAAGAGGUUUUUGUUGACCAUGAAAAAAAACAUCCGAAGGUCUGUUUGUGUUUGA